rnacentral:rRNA from 1 species
GUGCCAGCCGCCGCGGUAAUACCGGCAGCUCGAGUGAUGGCCGAUUUUAUUGGGCCUAAAGCGUCCGUAGCUGGCCCUGCAAGUCCGUCGGGAAAUCCACUCGCCUAACGAGUGGGCGUCCGGCGGAAACUACAGGGCUUGGGACCGGAAGACUUGAGGGGUACGUCUGGGGUAGGAGUGAAAUCCUGUAAUCCUGGACGGACCGCCGAUGGCGAAAGCACCUCAAGACGACGGAUCCGACAGUGAGGGACGAAAGCUAGGGUCUCGAACCGGAUUAGAAACCCCAGUAGUCC